rnacentral:rRNA from 1 species
CCGUUAUAACCGGCGAUACCCGAAUGGGGAAACCCAGUGUGACUCGUCACACUAUCAUUAACUGAAUCCAUAGGUUAAUGAGGCGAACCGGGGGAACUGAAACAUCUAAGUACCCCGAGGAAAAGAAAUCAACCGAGAUUCCCCCAGUAGCGGCGAGCGAACGGGGAGGAGCCCAGAGCCUGAAUCAGCAUGUGUGUUAGUGGAAGCGUCUGGAAAGGCGCGCGAUACAGGGUGACAGCCCCGUACACAAAAGCGCAUGUGCUGUGAGCUCGAUGAGUAGGGCGGGACACGUGGUAUCCUGUCUGAAUAUGGGGGGACCAUCCUCCAAGGCUAAAUACUCCUGACUGACCGAUAGUGAACCAGUACCGUGAGGGAAAGGCGAAAAGAACCCCGGCGAGGGGAGUGAAAAAGAACCUGAAACCGUGUACGUACAAGCAGUGGGAGCCCCACCACCAAAGCAUUUGCUGUACCGCGUUGACGGAGCGAAGCGACGUCAAACCGAUAAAACAGCAGUGUAAAGUGAGCCGCAGGGCGCUUUGCGCGACAGCGCAAAGGCAGGCGGUUUCGCGUAGCGAAAGCGAAUGCUUUGGGGUGGGGUGACUGCGUACCUUUUGUAUAAUGGGUCAGCGACUUAUAUUCUGUAGCAAGGUUAACCGAAUAGGGGAGCCGGAGGGAAACCGAGUCUUAAUUGGGCGUUAAGUUGCAGGGUAUAGACCCGAAACCCGGUGAUCUAGCCAUGGGCAGGUUGAAGGUUGGGUAACACUAACUGGAGGACCGAACCGACUAAUGUUGAAAAAUUAGCGGAUGACCUGUGGCUGGGGGUGAAAGGCCAAUCAAACCGGGAGAUAGCUGGUUCUCCCCGAAAGCUAUUUAGGUAGCGCCUCGUGAAUUCAUCUCCGGGGGUAGAGCACUGUUUCGGCUAGGGGGCCAUCCCGGCUUACCAACCCGAUGCAAACUGCGAAUACCGGAGAAUGUUAUCACGGGAGACACACGGCGGGUGCUAACGUCCGUCGUGAAGAGGGAAACAACCCAGACCGCCAGCUAAGGUCCCAAAGUCAUGGUUAAGUGGGAAACGAUGUGGGAAGGCCCAGACAGCCAGGAUGUUGGCUUAGAAGCAGCCAUCAUUUAAAGAAAGCGUAAUAGCUCACUGGUCGAGUCGGCCUGCGCGGAAGAUGUAACGGGGCUAAACCAUGCACCGAAGCUGCGGCAGCGACACUGUGUGUUGUUGGGUAGGGGAGCGUUCUGUAAGCCUGUGAAGGUGUGUCGUGAGGCAUGCUGGAGGUAUCAGAAGUGCGAAUGCUGACAUAAGUAACGAUAAAGCGGGUGAAAAGCCCGCUCGCCGGAAGACCAAGGGUUCCUGUCCAACGUUAAUCGGGGCAGGGUGAGUCGACCCCUAAGGCGAGGCCGAAAGGCGUAGUCGAUGGGAAACGGGUUAAUAUUCCCGUACUUGGUGUUACUGCGAAGGGGGGACGGAGAAGGCUAUGUUGGCCGGG